GCUCCCAGAGCUCGUCUGGGAAACAACUAAGAUUUUUGGCUCGAAAUUUUUUUUCUUUAUUUUGUUUUUUUUUUUGCUGAGAAAAAAUGUUUUUUUUUUUGUUCUCUUUUUUGUUAACAAAAUUGUGUGUGUUUAAUCAGAUACUCGAAUUUUAAUUGGUCGAUGAAUAUUUCAACUUGAAAAUGGUUUUCGCACACUUGUAAAUAUACAGAACAAUAAAAUGAUUGUUCAUUGAAAUAAGUGCAUGAUGCAGAUGCAUUAAUUGAUCUGGACGAUACCAAGCCUUAAUUAUUCUAGGGCGCUGCUGAUUACGUCGAUUAAUAUUAAGAAAAAUAUAUAUAUAUAUAUACAUAUAUAUAUACAUAUAUAUAUAGAUGUUUAGGGUAAAAUGUUUCUAUGCAUAUAGAUUAAUGGCAUACAUAAUACAAUAUUAUAUCUAAUGCAUACAUAAUACACAUUUGAAUUGGAUUAGAACAAGCUUUGGUUGGUAUGAAUUCUCGAAUUUUCAUAUCGAUAUUUAGCACUCUGUUGGUUGGUACCACGUCCUCUUAAAAAAGGACGCGAAGUUGGCUUCCAAAAGAGGAACAUGAAUUAAACAAUGAAUCAAAAAAAGUUUUUCAAAAUCGGUACCUCGAUGCAAAAACUUUUCCCCCCUUUGUGAUAAGUAAUUAGCAACGCAGUGUUGGCGAUAUUGAAAAAUAAACAGUAUUAAUAAUCGAAAAAAGAUCGCAAAUAAAAAUAGAGAAUGUAAA